GACGAACGCUGGCGGCGUGCUUAAAACAUGCAAGUCGAACGGACUUCUCAUGAAGCUUGCGAUUGAGAAGUUAGUGGCGGACGGGUGAGUAACGCGUGGGCAACCUGCCCCUGAGCCCGGGAUAACAGUUCGAAAGGACUGCUAAGACCGGAUAUACUUGCGGUGAAGCAUUUCACUGCAAGGAAAGGGAACGCUCAGGGAUGGGCCCGCGUCCCAUUAGCUAGUUGGUGAGGUAACGGCCCACCAAGGCGACGAUGGGUAGCCGGCCUGAGAGGGUGAACGGCCACACUGGGACUGAGACACGGCCCAGACUCCUACGGGAGGCAGCAGUUGGGAAUCUUCGGCAAUGGGCGCAAGCCUGACCCGAGCAACGCCGCGUGAGUGAUGAAGGUUUUCGGAUUGUAAAGCUCUGUCUUCCGGGACGAUAAUGACGGUACCGGAGGACGGAAGCCACGGCUAACUACGUG
rnacentral:rRNA from 1 species